rnacentral:rRNA from 1 species
GACAACCAGGAGGUUGGCUUAGAAGCAGCCAUCCUUUAAAGAAAGCGUAACAGCUCACUGGUCUAAAUUUAAGUCGUCCUGCGCCGAAGAUGUAACGGGGCUCAAACUAUCCACCGAAGCUGCGGGUGUAUGAUUUCUUCGGAUUUCAUACGCGGUAGCGGAGCGUUCCGUAGGCCUGCGAAGGUGACCCGCGAGGGUUGCUGGAGGUAUCGGAAGUGCGAAUGCUGACAUGAGUAGCGAUAAAGAGUGUGAGAAACACUCUCGCCGAAAGUCCAAGGGUU